GCCCGGCUAGCUCAGUUGGUAGAGCAUGACACUCUUCAUCUCAAGAUUGUGGGUUUGAACCCCAUGUUGAGCA